GCUUAUGAAUCAACUGAAGAAAUCAAUGAGGCGAUUGAACCCAUGGAAAGACCUCCUGUGUGAAAAAACUCAUUGAAUUUGGGGCAAAUGUAUGUUUUUUACCAUUCCCUUAUCUUCUCUAUUGAGGCAUUUUCAAGUAAUAUGUCUUUACAUAUUUGUUGGUGUUCGUAAUUUAUGGGGCUAAUCUUGAAUAUUGGGCCAGAUUUUAGUGUUUAAUUCACUAAAUGAAGACGAAAGGCACAUGCAUGUUAUUUCACUCUCUUAUAAUUUUAUCAGUUAUUUCAUUUGAUAAUUUAUUCAUAUAGAUAGGCUCAUGAAAAAGCUCAAGACUGGGAUACUUGCAAAUAAUUUAGAGGAGAUUGUUUAUAUUUUUGAAUAAUUCAGAGAAGACUAUGUCAUUUAAGUUUCCUGUAUAUGAAAGGCUCAUUAUUCACAAAUACAUAUCAAAUCUGGGUCAAAACCAUUCACUUAAGAUUACAUAUACGAAAUAUGAUCUUUCAUUUUAUUUAAUUUAAUCUCCAAUAUGUAAAAAUUAACUACUGAAUGUCUGGACAAAUGUGUUAUGCCUUGGGUCUGAGAGGUGUUGCAACAGGUUCUCAAAUGGUCCUUUCCUAGUCACAUCGUGCUGAACUACAAAUCCUAAGGAUGCACAGGCAUGUUAUUGUAGUCUCUUCUAAUUUUAUCGAGAUAUGGCAAUGAAGAAGCUGGCUGGGAUGCAAAUGCAACCUCUGAGGUCUAUCAGGUGGACUCCGUUGCGUCAUUCCACCCGAAGCUAUCUUACUCUAGUAGUUGAGUUCACGGCCAAGCUAUCUUUCCAUAGGAUCCCACAAAUCGUCGAUAAUAUCUAGUCAACACCCACCCUGCAGUUCUUUAAGUGUCUGAGGACGUGGCCAGUCUUUCAUAGUAGAUAACCUGUAUUUGUCUGUCACCACUCCAUUGUCUAAUAUGAUGUGCCCAAGAUACUCUAUCCCCGUUUGCCCAAAUGAACAUUUCUUCUUGUUUGCAAAGAGCUGGUUUUCUACUAGAAUUCAGCUCCACCAGAUUGAUAGACUCUGCCUCUGAAUUCAGCUGGAAUCCACCUGGAGUCAAGAUGAGAAUAGCACAGAGACAGAAAUAAAAUUCUGUAUUGAUUUGGAAAUGGAAUUACAAAACACGAAAGGAUUUACAAGCAGCAGUUAGAGAGGACUAUGACUCUCCACGCACUGAUUUCACUCACUAAAAUUAACAUAUCUUUCUUCUCUCAAUCUUUUUCUAUUUAUAGACUCAUGUAAUAGAUUUUGGCUACCUCACCACACCUGUCUAACAGAAUUUGUUACCCUCUCCUUUCUCCAUUCUGAUUGUUUCUUCUAGAAUAUGUGUAUUUAAUUGGGGACUUAUCAGUUGUCUUAUUUUCUGAAUGAAUUGUUGAGAACUUAAUGUGUCAUGUUAGGUUUUAUGUAAUUGGUGAUUUUGUGAACAAAAAAGACUAAAUUGAACACGUGUAAAGUCAAGGAGUUAGGUACAAUUUUGUAUAGACAAGUCAGGCAAGUUAGGAUUCGAGUCCGAAAUAAGAAAAGAAGAGACGUCACAUUUUCGCUAGCUACUGGCCAAAACAUUGUUCGAGCGACAAAAACAGAAUGAUUGUCGCUAGCCUGUCACUCGGACUUUGCUCAAUUUAAAGUCUGUCGCUCAUUUUUUGCUGGAGUGACCGUGUUAUGUGACCAACCCUAAUUUGCAAUUUUGAAAAGUUUUACAUGGACUAUAAUACCUAAAAAUCUGUAAAUAUAAAUAUCCAAGCUUUGUACUUUUUUAUGGUGGUUGUUCAUUAUGCCUCAUAUACAUAUCAUAUUCAUAUCAAUCUUUUGGUGAUCCAAGACUCACUCAUAGCUUGAUUCAAUCCUUUGAUUCUUGAGAUCUUGCAACCACAUAUUUGGGAAAACAUCAAAUACUUGAAUCCAAAACACCUAACUUCUUAACACUGUAAGGAAGAGACUUUUUUAGUUGGGCAUUGGGAGAGGUGGACUGCAAGCACGGGAAAGCAUAAGAAUUGACUAUUCUUGAAAUUCCGCUUGGAAGAGACAAUUGGAGAUAAUCGGGAAGCCAGUGGAGUCAGCAAAUCUGGGAGAUUACACAAGGUUGAUCGAAAAGUUUAGUGGAGUUAGCUAGAUAGUAUCUAACUGUAACGCUUAUUGUCUAUAGUGGAGGUAACUAACUUGGUUCCCGAGUUUUUAUCUAUUUGGGUUUCUCCAUCAACAAUAUUGGUGUUAUUUAUUGCUUUCAUAGUACAAACUACAGUAAUUCAACAAAGAAAAUUUUGACUUGCAUGCGUAACCAUCUAAAAAUAAUUAAUAAGUGACUUGUCGCUUGUAAUUGUAUAUUCCGCAUGUAAGGACAAACUAAAUCAGACAAGUAAAAGAACUUUCAAUAAUCCUUAUGAGUAGUAGGUGUAGUUAUAUACUGGUUUGAAGUUUGAAGUGCUGCGAGUGUUUAUGGAUAGGCUUCCGGUUCUUGGUAGUGCUUGUAACAUUGAACUAUUGCAAACCUGUUUCAUGGUGAAAUAGUGCAAUGGGGACAUAUCUGUCAUUUAUGAGGAGAGCGUUGAGAAUUAGAAACUCUAAUUCAAUACCACUGAGAGUAAUAAUAUCACAGAAAGAAAAUAUCACAGAAAGAAAAUAGACAUACAAAAAUGAGCAAAAUUUAUAGAAGUUUGUAUUAAUGUGGGACUACAUUAUCUUUCGUAACUACGAUAAAAAGAAGUUUACAAGAAAAACUCACACUUUAGGUAGAUUCGCGUACGUUAUCUACACAAUGACAAUAAUUAGGUUCCACAAUUUAGCAAAGAGUUCCAAAGAGAGACGUAAGCAGUGGCCAGCUGAAUUCCCUGCCCUUAAUUAGUGGCAAAAGAAUUCUGGUGUUCUUUUGAUUUCUUGCACGUGAUUUUAUUUUCUGCUGCGCGAUUCUUGUUAUCUGAUACCUAACACUAUGAAGGAACUCCUGAUGAUGAGGCUUGGGUAGUGGAUCUUCGUUGAGGCUACACAUGUGAAGGUGCUAAAUUCUACUCUGUGAGAAUUAUUAUUGAUAAAUGAGUUGUAGGUGGUACUCACUUUGUUCUGUAGUAUCUGUACCAAUUGUAUUGUUUCUUCGUUUGUAAUAGUGUUAUCAUUUAUGAUAGUGGACAAAAGCUCUAAAUCAAUCCAACAUUCCCUUGAGAUUUUAUGCAA